rnacentral:rRNA from 1 species
GCAGGCGAGAAAACUUUGCAAUGUGCGAAAGCACGACAAGGUUAAAUCCGAGUGAUUUGUGCUAAACGAAUCUUUUGUUAGUCCUAGAAACACUAACGAAUAAGGGGUGGGCAAGUUCUGGUGUCAGCCGCCGCGGUAAAACCAGCACCUCAAGUGGUCAGGAUGAUUAUUGGGCCUAAAGCAUCCGUAGCCGGCUCUGUAAGUUUUCGGUUAAAUCUGUACGCUUAACGUACAGGCUGCCGGGAAUACUGCAGAGCUAGGGAGUGGGAGAGGUAGACGGUACUCGGUAGGAAGUGGUAAAAUGCUUUGAUCUAUCGAUGACCACCUGUGGCGAAGGCGGUCUACCAGAACACGUCCGACGGUGAGGGAUGAAAGCUGGGGGAGCAAACCGGAUUAGAUACCCGGGUAGUCCCAGCUGUAAACUAUGCAAACUCAGUGAUGCAUUGGCUUGUGGCCAAUGCAGUGCUGCAGGGAAGCCGUUAAGUUUGCCGCCUGGGAAGUACGUACGCAAGUAUGAAACUUAAAGGAAUUGGCGGGGGAGCACCACAAGGGGUGAAGCCUGCGGUUC